GAUGAAGAACGUAGCAAAAUGCGAUACUUGGUGUGAAUUGCAGAAUCCCGUGAACCAUCGAGUCUUUGAACGCAAGUUGCGCCCGAAGCCACUAGGCCGAGGGCACGCCUGCCUGGGCGUCACACGUCGUUGCCCCCCCCAUCUACUCCUUCGGGAUUGCGGGGGGCGGAUGAUGGCCUCCCGUGCGCCUAGCCGCGCGGUUGGCAUAAAUACCAAGUCCUCGGCGACGCACGCCACGACAAUCGGUGGUUGCGAAACCUCGGUUGCCCGUCGUGUGCGUUCGUCGCGCAUCGAGGGCUCGAAAAAAUGCUCGGCUCCGGCUCGGCUUUCAACGCGACCCCAGGUCAGGCGGGGUUACCCGCUGAAUUUAAGCAUAUCAAUAAGCGGAGGA
rnacentral:misc_RNA from 1 species